rnacentral:rRNA from 1 species
AUGAACGCUGGCGGCGUGCCUAAUACAUGCAAGUCGAGCGAACAGACGAGGAGCUUGCUCCUCUGACGUUAGCGGCGGACGGGUGAGUAACACGUGGAUAACCUACCUAUAAGACUGGGAUAACUCCGGGAAACCGGAGCUAAUACCGGAUAAUAUAUUGAACCGCAUGGUUCAAUAGUGAAAGACGGUUUUGCUGUCACUUAUAGAUGGAUCCGCGCCGCAUUAGCUAGUUGGUAAGGUAACGGCUUACCAAGGCAACGAUGCGUAGCCGACCUGAGAGGGUGAUCGGCCACACUGGAACUGAGACACGGUCCAGACUCCUACGGGAGGCAGCAGUAGGGAAUCUUCCGCAAUGGGCGAAAGCCUGACGGAGCAACGCCGCGUGAGUGAUGAAGGUCUUCGGAUCGUAAAACUCUGUUAUUAGGGAAGAACAAAUGUGUAAGUAACUAUGCACGUCUUGACGGUACCUAAUCAGAAAGCCACGGCUAACUACGUG